rnacentral:tRNA from 1 species
GACUCUGUAGUGAAAUUCAUGUUGAGUUGCAAGCUCAUCGAUGUGCAUAGUAUGUACCGGAGUCU